rnacentral:lncRNA from 1 species
CAAGAGCCCCUUCCUGGCACCAUUAUCAGAAGCUGCUCAGAGGAAAAAUUGGGUUUUAUAGUUGUCUUCGUGUUGCUUGUCUGUGCUUCUGAAAUCACAGUUAAGUGAGCAUCCAAAGGCUCUUCUCAAUCCCAAAGCCCACCCCUCCGCUUCUGCCCUUCAGGUGGUGUCAGUGGAGCACUGCAUGGUUAGGACUUUCAUCCUAAGAGACAAUUAAUGAAAGUUAAUGGACACUUCCUUGUUAUACAACAUGACUAAUGUCAAUGGCAAACAAAUCACUGAAAAACAAUGACCAGUAAACCCAACUGAAAGGUUUUUCCAUUGAAAAUAAAAUCAACAAUGCCUAAUC